AGGAAGUUUUGGUAAGUCCCUGGACUCAGGAGUGAACGCUGGCGGCGUGCCUAACACAUGCAAGUCGAACGAAGCACGUCCCUCGAGGCCUUCGGGCGGAGGGGGGCAUGACUUAGUGGCGGACGGGUGAGUAACGCGUGGGUAACCUGCCCUAUACUGGGGGAUAACAGCUAGAAAUGGCUGCUAAUACCGCAUGAGCGCACAGUCCCGCAUGGGACAGUGCGGAAAACUCCGGUGGUAUAGGAUGGACCCGCGUCCGAUCAGCUGGUUGGUGGGGUAACGGCCCACCAAGGCGACGAUCGGUAGCCGACCUGAGAGGGUGACCGGCCACAUUGGGACUGAGACACGGCCCAAACUCCUACGGGAGGCAGCAGUGGGGGAUAUUGCACAAUGGGGGGAACCCUGAUGCAGCGACGCCGCGUGAGUGAAGGAGUACUCCGGUAUGUAAAGCUCUAUCAGCAGGGAAGAAGCAAGACGGUACCUGACCAAAAAGCCCCGGCUAACUACGUG
rnacentral:rRNA from 1 species